rnacentral:ncRNA from 1 species
ACUGAGUAGAUGAAAAGGGAAUCCGGUUUGAGUCCGGAACAACCGCCAUUACUGUAUUUGACGAAAGAAGAACAUAACCAUUGGAAUAAUUCUGAGAAGGGUUCUUUUUGUUGUAUGUAAUUAUAUACGCAAAUCAUAAGUCAGGAUACCUGCCGUAUUUUUUA